CCUACGGGUGGCAGCAGUGGGGGAUAUUGCACAAUGGGGGAAACCCUGAUGCAGCGACGCCGCGUGGGUGAAGAAGCGCCUCGGCGCGUAAAGCCCUGUCAGCAGGGAAGAAAAUGACGGUACCUGAAGGAGAAGCCCCGGCUAACCACGUGCCCGCAGCCGCGGUAAAACGUAGGGGGCCAGCGUUAUCCGGAUGUACUGGGGGUAAAGGGGGCGCAGGCGGGGAUGCAAGCCAGGAGUGAAAGCCCGGGGCCCAACCCCGGGACUGCACUUGGAACUGCGGGGCUAGAGUGCAGGAGGGGCAGGCGGAAUUCCUGGUGUAGCGGUGAAAUGCGUAGAUAUCAGGAGGAACACCGGUGGCGAAGGCGGCCUGCUGGACUGCAACUGACGUUGAGGCCCGAAAGCGUGGGGAGCAAACAGGAUUAGAUACCCCAGUAGUC
rnacentral:rRNA from 1 species